AGGACGAACGCUGGCGGCGUGCUUAACACAUGCAAGUCGAACGGUGAUCCUCCUUCGGGAGGUGAUCAGCGGCGAACGGGUGAGUAACACGUGGGCAACCUGCCCCUCACACUGGGAUAACCUCGGGAAACCGGGGCUAAUACCGGAUACGACCUCGAGCGGCAUCUCUUGAGGUGGAAAGCUCCGACGGUGAGGGAUGGGCCCGCGGCCUAUCAGCUUGUUGGUGGGGUAAUGGCCUACCAAGGCGACGACGGGUA
rnacentral:rRNA from 1 species